AAGAAUGAGGAAGACGAUGAGGAGUUCCGGUGAUGUGAUAAACUCAGGUGAAGAAGACGAGUUGAAAAAAUGUGGCCCUAUUUUUUUGUCCUUUGAUGAUGAUGACAU
rnacentral:snoRNA from 1 species